CCUAAAAUGCUAAAGUUGUCCAUGAUGAAAUUCGAACAUGCAACCUUUGGGUUGGUAGACGUUCAUGUUAUACCUCCCUCCUUAAAUAACCUUCUGUCUUAUGUAACCACACAAAACGCAACAUAUCAUACUAAUUUGAGUGUCCCGGACAGAGUGACUAUAUAUUAACAAAAUUGCAUCUAAUGUAGGGAUGCAUCUGAGGUCUUGAGCUCUUGCAUCUGAGCUCAAAAAUGCAUCUGAGCUCUUGAGCAGAGGGCUGCUAAUUGACUCUAAGUGCAAUCCUCUCAGCCCCCCUGGCCCUGCAUGACCACUCACAUGGCAACAGCACAUAAUGUCAUGUGGCUGCAGCAACAUAUCACGCUCAAAAGCAUGGACAAAUAUUCAUUAUCUGAUUAUAUCAAAUUAGGAUCCAUAGUUUUAUCAGUCUUACUGACAAGUCAAGAAUUGUAAUGAAGCUUCAAUAUGUGCUAACAUCAACAACACUGGAUUGAUGAAUGUCCCUCAUCUCCCAUUUCAGGCACAAUGUUGAUGAUGCCAAUGAGGUGCCCUACAUGAAGAGCAAUGGAGUGGACYCUAAGAAAUAACAACCCUCACAGCAGAYGUAGCUCUAGUCUACAGUCUACAUGGUACAUAAAAGUAAAAUAACAAGUAGCCUACAGAACUGAAUGCUGUCUGAUAUUUCAAGAUGUGGAAAGGAAUGCAAGAGGAGGAGGGGAAGAGAGAGGGAGGGAAAAUGGAACAUGUGGCAGAAGUAGAGAUGCAUGAAGUGAGAAGAUGUAUGCCCGUUCCACAUUAAGCUUUCAAGUACUCACCACUACGCUGCUCCCACUAAAUGAUUUAGUGGCAGAACAACAAUCCAUCAGCUCUGUGGAAGGUUAUUAUAAAUGCAUUACCUCCCCAAGCCUACAUGUUCAAUGGAGUCGUGCAGGGCCUCAUAAAUAUGGGUCAAUAAAGGAACACACACAAAAGACUCAGGAUGAAUGAAAUAGGCUUUAUUGUAUUAGUGUGAACUUUCACCCUACCUGUGCGUAGAAGCUCUCAGAUCUGAGGCGGGUCUUUUCAAAUGAAGAGACACACGAACUGAAGACAGGUCUUCACCUUGAUGGCUACACAUCUGACAACAGCAGCAGCUCCAUCUCAGUCAUCUGGAAUUGAUGCAGCUGGCGCCAUUGUCUCUCCAGUGUUCAGAGACUGUGCAUUGCCAUGUGAAAAGCAUCCGGAAUUAAUAACAGGCCAGGGCAGGCCAGCACAACAAGGAUCUUUUUUUAUCACAUCUUCAAUCCCCCAUCUGUCCUACAGAUCCCUCUAAUGUUAUUUCGGCAGAGGACAGUCCCAGGAGGCCUCCCUCCUCCUUCUUGAGGCAGGAGAAUUCCAUUUCUGGGAAUGAAACCUCAACCAAUCACAUCUUGGUGGAGCUGAAUCUACAGAACAACAUCUUGGUUUAUUGUGGGUUUCUUGUUUUGUAGAGUUGGACGUUUUCUUAAGGCUUAAAGAAGGCCAAUGGUCAAUGUAAAACUGUUGGAAAGUGUUCCGUGCCUCAAAAAACAGUAGUUUUCUUUGAUUGUCAUUUUUUGUCUUUGAGCAAAUAGGGCUAUACAGAUUUGUGUCCAUUGAGUAAAUUAUAAUGGCUUUUAAAGAARAGGCAUAACUUUAAAAUUCUGCACUUUAAAUGGUAGGAUGUUUUUGGUAAUCUUUCACAUUCCUAAAAUGACCUAACUAUUGUUUUUGACUGAAACAAGGAGCUAUGGAUAAGCAAUAUGUUUAAAAUGAAUCGCUUGAACCCAUAAAUAUUUGACCAAAUGUCAGAGAACAUAAAUGUCUUGUAGUGAAGAUGUGUGUGCCAUGGCUACUCAAUCUAAAGCGCAAUGGAAAGAGGCAUCUGYUUUGUACCUCUCUGUCAACCCUCUCCAGUCACAAUGCAUUGCUAUGUGAUGAAAGAAAGCCUGCAAUGAAUCACCUCUUUCCCUACACCUUUAGCAUCCCGUUGGUCCCAUUGAAGGAGCAACAGUCAGAAAGAGGUGUGUUACUAGUCUGCCUAUGUUCAAAACACAGCUCCAACUUUACUUUACAUUUUUAAAAGCAGCUAGGUGUCACCUUAGUAAACGUCUGCCUUGAGUCAGAGCUUGGUUAUGAUGGUAUUUACUGGUAGGACGGUUUGUUACAGAAUCGACUUUCCUUUGACAUGUCAUCUUACAACCUGCUUCUUCUCUCUAAAGCAAAAAUGAUGUCUGUUCUUUUCUCUCCCCACCUGAUCAA